rnacentral:rRNA from 1 species
ACUGAACGCUGGCGGCAUGCCUUACACAUGCAAGUCGAACGGCAGCACGGAGCUUGCUCUGGUGGCGAGUGGCGAACGGGUGAGUAAUAUAUCGGAACGUACACAAGAGUGGGGGAUAACGUAGCGGAAGUUACGCUAAUACCGCAUACGAUCUAAGGAUGAAAGCAGGGGAUCGCAAGACCUUGUGCUCCUGGAGCGGCCGAUAUCGGACUCGCUAGUUGGAGAGGUAAAGUCUCACCAAGGCCUCGAUCAGUAGCUGGUCUGAGAGGACGAGCCGCCACACUGGAACUGAGACACGGUCCAGACUCCUACGGGAGGCAGCAGUGGGGAAUUUUGGACAAUGGGGGCAACCCUGAUCCAGUAAUGCCGCGUGAGUGAAGAAGGCCUUCGGGUUGUAAAGCUCUUUUGUCAGGGAAGAAACGGUGAAGGCUAAUAUCCUUUGCUAAUGACGGUACCUGAAGAAUAAGCACCGGCUAACUACGUGCCAGCAGCCGCGGUAAUAC